UACGGGGGGGGCAAGCGUUGUUCGGAAUUACUGGGCGUAAAGGGCGCGUAGGCGGUUCGUUAAGUUAGAUGUGAAAACUCUGGGCUCAACCCAGAGCCUGCAUCUAAUACUGACGGGCUAGAGUUCUGGAGGGGGUAGCGGAAUUCCUGGUGUAGCGGUGAAAUGCGUAGAUAUCAGGAGGAACACCGGUGGCGAAGGCGGCUACCUGGACAGAAACUGACGCUGAGGCGCGAAAGCUAGGGGAGCAAACAGG
rnacentral:rRNA from 1 species